rfam:Clostridium hathewayi WAL-18680 genomic scaffold supercont1.5, whole genome shotgun sequence.
UAACAUGAGAGUUUGAUCCUGGCUCAGGAUGAACGCUGGCGGCGUGCUUAACACAUGCAAGUCGAGCGAAGCAUUUUUAAUGAAGUUUUCGGAUGGAUUUAGAUUUGACUUAGCGGCGGACGGGUGAGUAACGCGUGGGUAACCUGCCUUAUACUGGGGGAUAACAGUUAGAAAUGACUGCUAAUACCGCAUAAGCGCACAGUG